rnacentral:tRNA from 1 species
AGAAUUUUAUGUUAUUCAAACUAAAAGCCUUCAAAGCUUUCGAAAAAAGUAUACUCUUUUAGAUUCUA